rnacentral:rRNA from 1 species
CAGUAGCCGCGGUAAAACGGAGGGUGCAAGCGUUAAUCGGAAUUACUGGGCGUAAAGCGCACGCAGGCGGUCUGACAAGUCAGAUGUGAAAUCCCCGGGCUUAACCUGGGAACUGCAUUUGAAACUGUCAGGCUGGAGUCUUGUAGAGGGGGGUAGAAUUCCAGGUGUAGCGGUGAAAUGCGUAGAGAUCUGGAGGAAUACCGGUGGCGAAGGCGGCCCCCUGGACAAAGACUGACGCUCAGGUGCGAAAGCGUGGGGAGCAAACAGGAUUAGAUACCCCGGUAGUCCCUGUCUCUUAUAC